UUGAACGCUGGCGGCAGGCUUAACACAUGCAAGUCGAGCGGGGAAAGGUAGCUUGCUACCUGACCUAGCGGCGGACGGGUGAGUAAUGCUUAGGAAUCUGCCUAUUAGUGGGGGACAACAUCUCGAGAGGGAUGCUAAUACCGCAUACGUCCUACGGGAGAAAGCAGGGGACCUUCGGGCCUUGCGCUAAUAGAUGAGCCUAAGUCGGAUUAGCUAGUUGGUGGGGUAAAGGCCUACCAAGGCGACGAUCUGUAGCGGGUCUGAGAGGAUGAUCCGCCACACUGGGACUGAGACACGGCCCAGACUCCUACGGGAGGCAGCAGUGGGGAAUAUUGGACAGUGGGGGGAACCCUGAUCCAGCCAUGCCGCGUGUGUGAAGAAGGCCUUUUGGUUGUAAAGCACUUUAAGCGAGGAGGAGGCUACCGAGAUUAAUACUCUUGGAUAGUGGACGUUACUCGCAGAAUAAGCACCGGCUAACUCUGUG
rnacentral:rRNA from 1 species